rnacentral:rRNA from 1 species
UACGUAGGGGGCAAGCGUUGUCCGGAUUUAUUGGGCGUAAAGAGCGUGUAGGCGGUUAGGUAGGUCCGUUGUGAAAACUCGAGGCUCAACCUCGAGACGCCGAUGGAAACCAUCUAACUAGAGUCCGGAAGAGGAGAGUGGAAUUCCCGGUGUAGCAGUGAAAUGCGUAGAGAUCGGGAGGAACAUCUGUGGCGAAGGCGACUGCCUGGACCAGCACUGACACUGAGGCACGAAAGCGUGGGGAGCAAACAGG